rnacentral:rRNA from 1 species
GACGAAGGUGGCGAGCGUUGUUCGGAUUCAUUGGGCUUAAAGAGCACGUAGGCGGCUUGUCAAGUGUCUUGUGAAAUCCCCCGGCUUAACCGGGGAACUGCUCGGCAAACUGGCAGGCUUGAGGCAGGUAAGGGCGCGUGGAACUCUUGGUGGAGCGGUGAAAUGCGUAGAUAUCAAGAGGAACGCCGGUGGUGAAGACGGCGCGCUAGGCCUGUCCUGACGCUGAGGUGCGAAAGCCAGGGGAG